GCCCGGGUGGUGAAAUUGGUAGACACAAGGGACUUAAAAUCCCUCGCUGGCAACAGCGUGCCGGUUCAAGUCCGGCCCCGGGCA
rnacentral:tRNA from 1 species